UGGCUCCUCACUCAAUGUUGCAGAAGGAAGGAGAACACCGAGAACACGAACAUUGAGGUCUUGGCUGUAACGGUUUUUCUAAGGAGCAACGAUCCUGCUAUCUCGCGCAGAAAGCCCGCCACUGCGUAAUUUACAGCGGCCGAACCAGCCCCAACCCGCCCUGCAUUCUGUCGCUGCUCGCAGUAGGUGCAGCUAAAUAGAGGGACCUUAGGUGCAGCCACAACUCUAACCGCGGGCGCUCCAUAGACUAUCCUGACGAUGCUAGUGGUGACCGGAAACCGCGGCGUAGUGACGUCAACAAUGGUGUUUCGUUCCUGCGCAGUCUCCGCAAACGUGCCUGACCGUGCUUGUUUCUGCUAGCGUGCCGUGAUAAUCUGCUUCGACCGACCCUGCAUUCCUUUGUUGGUGUGUUUGCGUUUAUGUAGAGUGGUAUAGUCAACGUGCGCAGCAUCAAUUGAAGUGGUGGGCCGAUCAUGCCGGCUUUCUGUGCAGCCUACGGUUGCACGAGCACCAGCGGCCGCGACGAUGUUGUCUUCCAUUGCUUCCCGCAAGACAAGAAGCUUGCAACUAAGUGGGAGGCUGCUGUGAGGCGAAAGAAUUUCAAGCCCUCAAGAACAACAGUGCUGUGCUCCAACCACUUCCGUGACGACGAUUACUACCAGAAUUUAUCAAUAAUGCGUGCGUUGGGUUUGCCAAUCAAGUCGGCUCGACUAAGGCCCGGAGCAGUUCCGUCAGUGUUCGUGUACACAAGGAGCUCGUCAAGGCCAGCUUUCGCGCAAAGAAAGAAGCUUGAGGUUCCUACUGAACUGUUAGGCGACAUGGCUUGCACUGAAGACUGCUCUACAAGAAACUUGCCACUAGUAGAUGAUGCCCAAGAACCAGCACUGAUCUCCCAUAAAGGUGACAAGUGCGUUCAAGUCAUCGUGCGGCCUGCAAACUGCUCUAAGGCAUCACAGGUGAACAUGAAAAGAAAAGUCAAAUCAAAGGCAGCACAGACAAAGCCUUGUGGUGUUUCUAUAGGACUCGGUUAGCAGCCACGCACUGCCAUGGGAACAGUGAGAGAAGGCAGGCACGCACACAGGAUGGCACUUCUAGGUGGAUUGUGAAAUACCCGAAAGCCACAGGAGGCAAUGCGGUUGCCUGUCCUGUAACGGAGCAACCCACACGUGGCUAUGUGAAGAGACUACCGGAUGUGGUUAUGCUGGAUGCUGCGACAGUGUUACGGACGAGAAUGGCCACAAAUGCGAAGAUUCUGCCGUCUCUCGGCAGCCACUUUCCUAAAGCAUCAAUGGAAGAGCUCGUAAACAGGCGGAGAACAAGAUUCAACAAGUAGUUAGAUAUAAAUGGUCUUGUAGCAAAAUGUAGCGAGAAUGCCAACAAUAUGAAAAGCUGGCUUGCGCCUAAAACAAGCCAUUGUGGACUCGUGACACAGUGCAUGACAAACUACCUUUGCGACAGCUUAACGACAUCCAUAUAACUUUAUACAUAUGUGUUUGUGUAUGCUAGGAUUGGCUGUUUUUCUAUUUUACGUGUGUGGCAACCAGAUAAAAUGACACCGAAUAAAAUGUAUAUGUGCUUCCAAAUUCACUUUUUACUUAUUGUGCCAAAAGCUUUUACUACAUGCAUGAAAGUUGUAAAGUCACAUGGGAAGUGAUGCAAAAGUGGUUCAUAAUGUCAAGAGCGGUGCAUGCAGCGAUUCAGUUUCUUUACUAACACAUGUUUAAAUACUCCGACACAGCUUGAAAAAUGUUUGAACCCUGUGUACACUCCAUUUUGAGGUGGGUAUUUCUUCCGGAUAGCACACAGGACACAAUUUGGCAGAAUGUGCCUCUUGUGCUUGCCCAUUCUUCUCCAUAUGAGCCAUGCAAAUUGCCGAUAUGCAGCAUAUCUCAACUGCCUGUGGAUGUUAAAGUAAAUUAUAUUACAGCACAUAUCUGAUCUAUAUCAAAUCUCACCUGUUUGUGGAAUCUUUGUCACCUUUUCCUGAUAAAGUGGUACCUUGCUGCACCAGUGCCACUUCAAGCACAGUCCUGUUCAGACAAGUCUUCAAAUUUUCAUGACCUUGUGAUGCAUUGUGCAUGCUUCUGCUUUUGAGUGAUUUCGUUAAUUUCUUGACAGCAGCAGCAGUCCUGUUCAUUGGGGUACAGUGAUGGCACGAACACAUAUUAAGAGUGAAGUGUGUUUAAAAUGGCAUCACUGAGCUACCAAAAAAGCAUUUGCAUUCAUGAACACAUGCAAAGAACUAGUAACAAAUUACAAAGUGCACCUUAGCUUGAUACAUUAUUGAGCGCACAGCAGGUUUCCCACAGCCAGACCUGUGAUUUGGCCUGCGCAGUUGCUGUAUAUGACCACAGUAUGAGAGAGGACGACUUGCUACUAGCAGGCUUUCUAAACACAACGCGAAAAUAUAGGAGGAACGAACACCAAGACGGGACGGGUGUGGAUGGACGGAUGAUAACUGGUGUUGGAAAGCCUUAUGAAUACACGAAUUCGCCCAAACCUGCAUUUUGAUUUACUGCUAGCUCCUUCGUGUUAGCACGCUGAACGGAAAGUGCAUGUUUAUCUCCCACCCUUGACGCAGGUUUCGUCGCAAAGCGCCACGAAUUUUCUAUUUGCACGUGUGUUGUAAAACAGCCUGCAUACAGCUACCAUAACGCAGUGCAAGUGUAGAGUUUGCAUGUGCUGGAAAGCCAGCACACGCCAGGACACUACGCUCCCCCUUCUCUCGCGCACAGCAAGAAACCAUAGAAUAAAUGGCAAGAAACCGCCCGUCUCACGUAGCUGACGGAAUUCGCCGCCUUUAGGGCCUGUUUGCACUCGAGCCGCCCAUUGCUGCAAGCCGUACCGCACGCUUGCGGUCGCGCAAAAGAUUGCACAUAUCAAAUAUUUGUGCACAAAUUUCGGUUUCCAAUGUGUGAGGUAUACAUUGUGUACACAGUGUAAACGGUAAUUUGUGCACAAGUGCUGGAUAUGUGCAAUAUUUCACGAGAAAAGUUUGCCAAAGUCUGGUGCCUACUGUCAGCGGCAGGUGUGUUCGUGUACUGUAUCGCUGUGUUUCUUGUCGGACGGGGUGAAGUGAUGGAGCAAAACCAUUCUCAGGAGAAAUGAGAAAAGCGUGCGCGCAUGAAACAAACCUACGAGCGUCUCAACAGAAAAUAUUUGCAAAAGAAGCUUCCAACGCAAAGAUUUGUCGCCGUCAACUUAGCGUGAACGAACGCUGUCAGCAGUGAGAUAGCCGAGCAUCUAACGGCGGUGUUCAAGCAUGGUGUAGGACUUGAGACUGACUCCAACCAAAUAACUGAAUUCAGUUAUUUGGUUGGAGUCAGUCUCAAGUCCUAAUCAAUUUCCCAACCAGACAGGCAAUUCUGUCAAAAUGUUUAGCUUCAAGUGUUGUGUUGCACCGUCGAUUGAUUGCUUUCCACAAGUGCUCACCGCGCGCACAAGCUGUAGAAUGCGUGCUGUGGCACAGUCACGCAUAAGAUGUGUUGCCAGCGCUCAAUAUCGUUUUCCACAACAUAGCUUUGCACUGCUUUUCGAUUCUUGUGAUAUGUUGCAAUUAAAGAUUCCCAAGACAGUGUUAAGAGAACGAUUUAAAAGAAGACAUACGAGAAGGUAGGCACAUCAGCUUGUGAACCCGCUCCUAUAAUACCUCUACCCGCGUCUGUAAAUGUAUGUUUUCUUGUGUUUGUCAAAUCUUUUUAUUUCCCACAUUUCUUUAUAUUUGAGAUUUCCUUAGUUUUCGCGUUUGUGUGUGAAUACGUGCCUGCUUCCAUGCGUGUUUGUGCUUACUCUUAUUUCUGUCCUUUUAUUUUAUCUUAGCAUUUGUUUUUGCUAGUUUUCUUUCAGCAAAGUCUUUUUACACAUUUUCGUUAACCGCUCUCAUUCAAAGCACUAACUCCUGUACACUGCAGGGCUGGCCUCUUCCAUCUCAUUAAAACUUUUCUCACUGGUCUACCUCGUCUUCUCAAUCUGCCUACUCGCUGUGUUUUCCGUUCUUGCUUCUUUUGUGGUUGCUGCAGUGUGAUUAACCAACUUGCUCAAACCAAAUUUUGAUCGCCUAUGAAAACAAAGGUUUACAGAUACAUUUUCUUAAAAGCGUUAUGUGGGUUACACAGUAACUUUGCCUCUUACCACUGUUUGUAUUUAUGCAUUGGUGCAUGUGGCAGCUCGCCAGAAGUGCACAUGAAAGGCUGCAUAUUGCGAAACAACACCUUGCUAUGCUGUUGCAUUUUUCAUGCAUUCAGUCUUAGUAAGCAGAUGGUUUCGCUGCCCAUCACCUAUGAUGGUAAAAAGUUUCAACACGAAUAACAUUGUGCAGUGGGGUAUCAUUUCCUGUCUGACGCUUUCAUCGUUACAAAGACAUUUUUCAGUAAAUGGAGCCCAGGAAAGCAGUACACUGAGAGCUUUUGCAACUUUCACCUUUUAUUUCUUGACCAAUGUCAUUGUCUAAACCUGGCCGUCGAUCGCCAUGCUGAUGGCUUGUGAAUUAAAUAAUUGCCUCAAUAAAACACAUUCAACUUUACUCGGCAUUUUUUAGUACAAACAAUGCUAGCAGAGUUAUUCAGGGUGAAUAAUUGUGUUUACAUUUGGUGUUACUUGCCUGGUCAGGUAAACGAAUACAACAAUGGCUGCGGUGCGACUGUGAUUUGAUGUGUAGACUGCAAACGGUGCCUUUCAAGCGUGCCCUCGACUACUGCUAUUAACAGCUACCCAAAUGAGUUUUAUGGGCCUCACUUAGCUAAUGUUUGAUAAUUGUUCUCUUAUUUGCAUUACUUGCCUGGGCCAGGUAGCCAAAAUAAACAAUGCCACCACAUGAAUGUGUUUUUGCAUGCAAGCUGCCAACAGUGGCUUUCAUUUUUGCACUGACUGCUGCCGUUUCACCAACAGUGGCGACGGCUUGACUGAUUUGAUGUGCAGACUGCAAACGGUGCCUUUCAAGCGUGCCCUCGACUACUGCUAUUAAUAGCUACCCAAAUGAGUUUUCUGGGUCUCACUAGGCUAAUGAUGUUUGAUAAUUGUUCUCUUAUUCGCAUUACUUGCCUGAGCCAUGUAACCGAUAUAAAGAAUGCGACCAUAUGAAUGUGCUUUCGCAUGCAAACUGCUAAAAGUGGCGGUCAAUUUCGCGUUGACUACUGCUGUUUCGCCUACAAUGGCUACCACAUGGCUGCGCUUUGAAGUGCAGAUGCCAAAGGUACCUUUCAAGCGUGCCCCGACUACUGUUAUUUCAUCACAGGGCCCGUCAUGCUCGUCGGUGGCUGCCCAAUAGAGUAUUUUGGGCCUUCUGACAUUGGCAUUAUUCAUCUCAACAGGCUGGAAAAAACAGUAGGGGCAGCACAACUACGUGAAAGCAGGCUGCCUAACAGGGACAUUUUGCUCUGCAUCGCACUUAUUUGUUCAGGUGGAUUUAUGAAAUUAAAUGACUGUGCAGUGGAGUAAACCGAGCCGACGGUGUGUUUUUGUUGUUACUUGGCUGCAUGUAUUGGCUUUCAGGGGCACGUAAACUUGACGAUGGCUGUGACACGGCUGCUAUUGUUUUCCUUUCGACACGCAGGCUGCCAAGAUUGGCGGUCAAUUUCGCCUUGGCUGCUGCUGCUUCACCAUAGGGCCCGUCAACUCUAGAAUGGCUGCCCUAGUGAGCACUUUGGGCCUCACUAAUGCCAAUGAUGCUUUAUAACUGUUCUCUUAUUCACAGUAUUUGUGUGAGCCAGAUAACCAAAAUAAACAAUGCAACCACAUGAA